rnacentral:rRNA from 1 species
AGUGGUGAGCGAUAGCGAAGAGUUACACCUGUUCCCAUACCGAACACGGAAGUUAAGCCCUUCAGCGCCGAUGGGAGUGGGGGCUUUCCCCUGUAUAAGUAGGACGUUGCCGGGC